rnacentral:rRNA from 1 species
AAUGAACGCUGGCGGCGUGGAUUAGGCAUGCAAGUCGAACGCGAAAGUUCCCUUCGGGGAGCGAGUAGAGUGGCGAAAGGGUGAGUAAUGCUUGGAUGACCUGCCCUCGAGACGGGGACAACAGUUCGAAAGGACUGCUAAUACCCGAUAGUCCGGUUUAGAUGCGUCUAGAUCGGUAAAUGGUGCUUCCGCUCGAGGAGGGGUUCAAGUCCUAUCAGCUUGUUGGUGAGGUAACGGCUCACCAAGGCGAUGACGGGUAGCCGGACUGAGAGGUUGGCCGGCCACAUGGGAACUGAGACACGGUCCAGACUCCUACGGGAGGCAGCAGUGGGGAAUUUUGCGCAAUGGGCGAAAGCCUGACGCAGCGACGCCGCGUGUGCGAUGAAGGCCUUUGGGUCGUAAAGCACUGUCGACAGGGACGAAAGCUCGCUGGCUAAUAUCCGGCGAGGUUGACGGUACCUGUAAAGGAAGCACCGGCUAACUCUGUGCCAGCAGCCG